rnacentral:rRNA from 1 species
CAGAGGUCUCAAGCGUUGUUCGGAUUCGUUGGGCGUAAAGGGUGUGUAGGUGGCGCGCUAAGUCGGGUGUGAAAUUUCGGAGCUUAACUCCGAAACUGCAUUCGAUACUGGCGUGCUUGAGGACUGGAGAGGAGACUGGAAUUCAUGGUGUAGCAGUGAAAUGCGUAGAGAUCAUGAGGAAGACCAGUGGCGAAGGCGGGUCUCUGGACAGUUCCUGACACUGAGACACGAAGGCCAGGGGAGCAAACGGGAUUAGAUACCCCGGUAGUCCUGGCAGUAAACGGUGCACGUUUGGUGUGGGAGGAUUCGACCCCUUCUGCGCCGGAGCUAACGCGUUAAACGUGCCGCCUGGGGAGUACGGUCGCAAGAUUA